rnacentral:lncRNA from 1 species
UCUUCAUCGAUCUUCGCCCCCUUCCCCACGCGGGGCCCCAUCCCCCCGCCGCCGCCGCCGCCGCCGCCCAGACCGGAGAGGGCUGGCAUAGAAAGGGAGAAAAAAAAAAGAAAAAAAAAAAAAUCGAGCGGGGCUGAGCUCGCCGCGCGCGGAAGGAGCCGGGAAGGCGAGCGGCGCGGGCCGGAGAGUUGCCGCUCGCUCGGGCCGCGGGCGGAGAGGUGGCGGCGCCCGCGGGGGCGGGGGCGGGGUGCGCGGUGGGCGUGGGGUGCCGGGGGGCGUGGGUCUGUGGCGGAGCCGGGGACAGGCUGCGCGCGGGAGGCGAGGCAGGGCGCUCGGGGGCGCCGGGCCGGCGCGCACACCCGCCCGCGGCCACCCCGCCUCGCGCUCCGCCUCCUCCCGCGCUCCGCGCACCCGCGGGCUGGAGGGGCCGCCGCCGCCGCCGCCGCCUCUGCUCCUCCACCUCCUCCACCGCCUCCACCUCCUCCUCCUCCUCCUCCCCCUCCUCCUCCUCCUCCUCCCGGGCGCUCGCGGCUCCCGAGGUGGGCGGCGGGCCCGGAGCCGUGCGCUCGGCCUGGGACAGCGCCCCCGAGCCCAGGGCGCGGCCGGGCGCCGCCCACACCUCGCCGGCGCCUCCCUCUCCCGGGGCGCGCCCGCCGCUCCCCCGGGGCCCGGCCCAGCUCCACACCCACCUGCUUGGCUCCGGGGCUCGCGCUCCGCGGGGCAGGAGGGUCCGCGCCGGGCGGGCGCCGCGCACCCGGCGGCGGGGAAAGCCCGGGGCGCCCCGCCGGCAGGCGCUGGGGCGGCUUCGCGGGAUUCCCUGGGCCACGCCCGCCCUUCCGCGACCCGGGCCCGGGGCAUCUUCCCCGCGGGGAGGAGCCCCCGCCGCUGCGUGCCGGGGCCCGGGGCAUCUUCCCCGCGGGCGGGGGGCGGGGGGCGAACCCGGAGCGCAGAGGGGACCUGACUUUCCUCCCGGCAGCUCCAGCUCGGUUCGGGGGCCGUACCGGUCCCCGCAGCCCCUCUGCCCUGGGUUUGGGGGCAAAGGCGGGUGGCUCGGUGGCAGCCUCAGCUCCCGCCUCCCACGGGGGCGCUCUUCGUACUCCGGCUUGCUGGCUUUUGCCCGCUCUCCCUGCGAGCUGGAGAAUUUGUGCCAAGUUCCUCCUUGGCGAGGCCGCCUGGUGGACACCCAGACCUUCCCCUACCUUGGAGCCG